GAUGAACGCUGGCGGCGUGCCUAAUACAUGCAAGUCGAGCGAACUGACGAGAAUCUGGCUUCGCUGAUGUUAUCGCCGGACGGGAGAGUAACACGUGGAUAACCUACCUAUAAGACUGUUAUAACUUCGGGAAACCGUAGCUAAUGCCGGAUAAUAUUUUGCACCUCAUGGUUCAAAAGUGAAAGACGGUCUUUCUGUCACUUAUAGAUGGAUCCGCGCUGCAUUAGCUAGUUGGUAAGGUAACGGCUUACCAAGGCAACGAUGCAUAGCCGACCUGAGAGGGUGAUCGGCCACACUGGAACUGAGACACGGUCCAGACUCCUACGGGAGGCAGCAGUAGGGAAUCUUCCGCAAUGGGCGAAAGCCUGACGGAGCAAAGCCGCGUGAGUGAUGAAGGUCUUCGGAUCGUAAAACUCUGUUAUUAGGGAAGAACAUAUGUGUAAGUAACUGUGCACAUCUUGACGGUACCUAAUCAGAAAGCCACGGCUAACUACGUG
rnacentral:rRNA from 1 species